rnacentral:rRNA from 1 species
GAUGAACGCUGGCGGCGUGCCUAAUACAUGCAAGUCGAGCGAACAGACGAGGAGCUUGCUCCUCUGACGUUAGCGGCGGACGGGUGAGUAACACGUGGAUAACCUACCUAUAAGACUGGGAUAACUUCGGGAAACCGGAGCUAAUAACGGAUAAUAUAUUGAACCGCAUGGUUCAAUAGUGAAAGACGGUUUUGCUGUCACUUAUAGAUGGAUCCGCGCCGCAUUAGCUAGUUGGUAAGGUAACGGCUUACCAAGGCAACGAUGCGUAGCCGACCUGAGAGGGUGGUCGGCCACACUGGAACUGAGACACGGUCCAGACACCUACGGGAGGCAGCAGGAGGGAAUCUUCCGCAAUGGGCGAAAGCGUGACGGAGCAACGCCGCGUGAGUGAUGAAGGUCUUCGGAUCGUAAAACUCUGUUAUUAGGGAAGAACAAAUGUGUAAGUAACUAUGCACGGCUUGACGGUACCUAAUCAGAAAGCCACGGCUAACUACGU